UUCUUUUCUCUUAUUCGGAAGGAGAAGAGGUGAAAGUAGAAUACGUUUUUUUGUUGAAAAGAGAAGAGCACUGCCACUUUUCUCUUAUUUCCAUCCUUCUACUACCUCGUUUUACUUUCCAUUUAAAAACCC
ensembl:ncRNA F56D1.12 ncRNA